UACGAGGGGUCCAAGCGUUGCUCGGAAUCACUGGGCGUAAAGCGGGUGUAGGUGGCUUUGUAAGUCAGGAGUGAAAGCCCUGGGCUCAACCCAGGAAGUGCUUUUGAUACUACAAAGCUUGAGUGUGGGAGAGGAUCGUGGAAUUCCAGGUGUAGUGGUGAAAUACGUAGAUAUCUGGAGGAACACCGGUGGCGAAGGCGGCGAUCUGGCCUAACACUGACACUCAGACCCGAAAGUGCGGGGAUCAAACAGG
rnacentral:rRNA from 1 species